rnacentral:lncRNA from 1 species
ACAGAAGCAGAAAAGUGCAAGACCUUACAAAAGGGGUCCUCGUUCAAGUGAAACACAGAAGUCUUUGAUUUGACUUUAACAGAAGAAUAAACCAGGCUGACAAGGGUCACUGCUGUGAUUGAGCUCAUCAUACUGAAAGUGGACUUGGACCAAGAAGUAUUUUUACACAGCAGAUUUUAAGAGGGCAG